CGGGUCUAGUGGCGCACGGGUGCGUAACACGUGGGAAUUUGCCUCGGGGUAUGGAAUAACUCAGGGAAACUUGAGCUAAUACCAUAUAAUGUCUUCGGACCAAAGAUUUAUCGCCCUGAGAUAAGCCCGCGUAGGAUUAGCUAGUUGGUGAGGUAAAGGCUCACCAAGGCGACGAUCCUUAGCUGGUCUGAGAGGAUGAUCAGCCACACUGGGACUGAGACACGGCCAGACUCCUACGGGAGGCAGCAGUGGGGGAAUAUUGGACAAUGGGCGAAAGCCUGAUCCAGCAAUGCCGCGUGAGUGAUGAAGGCCUUCGGGUUGUAAAGCUCUUUUACUCGGGACGAUAAUGACGGUACCGAGAGAAUAAGCCCCGGCUAACUCCGUG
rnacentral:rRNA from 1 species